UACGUAGGGGGCUAGCGUUGUCCGGAAUCAUUGGGCGUAAAGAGCGUGUAGGCGGCCUGGAAGGUCAGCUGUGAAAACUCGAGGCUCAACCUCGAGACGUCGGUUGAAACCACCUGGCUAGAGUCCGGAAGAGGAGAGUGGAAUUCCUGGUGUAGCGGUGAAAUGCGCAGAUAUCAGGAAGAACACCCGUGGCUAAGGCGGCUCUCUAGUACGGUACUGACGCUGAGACGCGAAAGCGUGGGGAGCGAACAGG
rnacentral:rRNA from 1 species